AUGCAGAUGGCCAGUUGAGUUCGAACCUUGGGUAAACCAUGAAGCACGAUUCAGUGUUUGUUAGCACGUGUCCCAUCCAGUGUGGGGGACACACUUCUCCGAAAACACGAUCUAUUGUUUAUCUGAAGUUCAGAUUUGGCUGGAUGCUGUCUGGCGGCUGUUCCUAAUCCCGCCUGGACGGAUCGUGGGCCUCAGUUGUCCUUUCUGUGCUUCGGAUCUCGGAACCGCUCUCUGUCUUGCAAAACACCCCCACUGGCUUUCCUGAUCCUGAAAGCGCCACACGCGCGCUCCACCAAAACCUGUCCCGGGUGAGAGGAGAAAGGGCCCUUUGUUCCCCGGCCCCUCGUCCCCCCUGGAACCUUCUGGCUCCCCGCGCCAGGCAGCAGCGGCGGCGCACCUCGGCACUGUGGUUUCUUCACGCAGAGUUUUGCAACAGCUUUUUUCCACUCGACAAUAGAGGGCCCCACAGCUUUUAUUUCCAGAAAUUGGAAAAUGAAGCGUGUCCAGCCCCUGCCGGCUCACCCACCUUGGGCUGAAAUUUCAGCCACGUGAAGCGGCCGGGCUGGGGUG
rnacentral:lncRNA from 1 species